GGUGCAGGCCAAAGUGAGCUGCUGUGGAGUGGGACAAGCACAGCACAGGAGUCAGGAGACCUGGGCAUGGGUGUGGCUCUGUGUGUAGACCACACCUUGGUCUCUUUCAGGAUGCUUCCACAAGUCUGUGGGCCUCACCAACACUCAUAUAAAUUUGCAGAGGCAGAUUUUGUGAGCAUUCUUCUUAACCCCUAUCUCCAAAGACUUUCCUCAUCUGCAAUUCAGAAAAUCCAUCAACAUUACAGAAGAGAAUAUAUAUCACUCUCCUCUAGCUACCCAAAAUGCUGAAAGGAAAGAAGGCCAAGAGAAAGAAGGUGGCCUCAGCCCU
ensembl:lncRNA